GACGAACGCUGGCGGCGUGCCUAAUACAUGCAAGUAGAACGCAGUUGCGAACGGGUGAGUAACGCGUAGGUAACUGCCUCAUCGCGGGGGAUAACUAUUGGAAACGAUAGCUAAUACCGCAUAAUGUGAGAUGGACCUGCGUUGUCUUAGCUAGUUGGUGAGGUACAGGGCAACCAAGGCGACGAUCCAUAGCCGACCUGAGAGGUGGAGCUGCCACACUGGGACUGAUACACGUGCCCGAAUCCGUCGGGAGGCCGCAGUAGGGAAUCUUCUGAAAUUGAUGGAAGGCUGAACGAGCAACGCCGCGUGAGUGAAGAAGGUUUUCGGAUGGUAAAGCUCUGUUGUUAGAGAAGCGGUAACUAAACAGAAAGGACCGGCUAACUACGUGCCAGCAGCCGCGGUAAUAC
rnacentral:rRNA from 1 species